CCUCUCCCCCCUCAGAAAAUUCCAAUGAAAAUUCUCUCCAUUCUCUAGUGUUCAGAAGCUCUGCGUCUCAACCAAGGAGGAGAAGAAGUCAUGCAAUACAUCAAGAUUCUAGCUGCCAUCCACCCUUGCAUGUGUCGUCCCUAGAAGAUUGCUUGCUUUCAAGGAUCUUCAAGUUCUUCGUCUCAAGGUGUACCCUCAAUCCCCGGCUAGAACGAUCCCUACUUAUUCUAUACUAACAACUACAUUUUGUAGGGUUAAAGUGCACGCUUGUCCUUAGCGUAUCAUCUAUCUAUGCAGUCGCUGAUCAGUCGAUGAGGUUGCCAGUGGAUCAGUGAGAUGAGGUUGCCAAUAAGUCAGUGAGAUUGUCAAUAGGUCGGUGAGGUCACGGGUCAGUUAGUGAGGUGGGGUUAUUGUAUGAAAAAUAUGAGUUUUUAAUUUUUGUAUCUUAUUUUCCAAAAACACCCUUUUUUUUUUAACAAACCCAAA